UUAAGGAGGUUUUUGAAAGUUUGGAUUUAACUGGGUAUGAAUUAUUUUUCUACUGAAUUUUCAUCUAAUGACUUGUAUAAAGAUGCUUGCAUAAGUCGUUUCGGAGGAACAAUUGAGUGCUGCUGAAAUGGGACAAAGAAUUAAGCUAUUACAAGAAGAUAGGUUCCUCUUGAGCUUCCAUUUUCAAAGGGAGAAGCCAUGGAUGAUCCAACUUGCCUCUGUUACUUGCAUCUCUUUGGCUGCUAAAGUUGAAGAAACUCAAGUGCCUCUUCUCUUGGACCUUCAAGUACAUAUUUUUUUUCUCCUUUAUAUCAGAAAACUCAUCAUGAUGUAUCUAAUAAUGUGAUUAUUUGAUCAUGAAUCAUCAUUAAAUUGAACACUUUUGAGGAUUUAAUUUAGCUUGUGUCGUACACUUGUUUAAUAGACUUAAGUUUUGGAAGAGCAGGAAAUUGUUUCUGUUAGGAAAUUAACCAACUGGAUAAACCCUUGGGGGGAAAAAAUUAAAUUGUUGCUGCUGGUGCUGGAUUAUCCUUAGUUGACUCAGUGGUGAUCUCUCAACCUGGCUUAUCUCUGUAAGUUGAUUGCAUUUGUUGUUUAGAAUCGCGGUGAUCAAAGAGCAAAAAGAGAGAAUAUGCAGAAAGCGAAGAAUAUGAAAAUUUACUAGAAUAAGAAAAAUGGUUAUUACAAUUUGGUCUACAAUUUGAUCAUGUAGUAAUAACUAAUCUUGAUUUACAACUCAUAUCAAAGUGAUAAACUUCUAUAUAUGCUAAUAGCAUUUUCUAAAUUCAUGGCUUACUUAUUUUUUUUAGUUAUUUAUUAUUAUUUUUUUAAUGAAAAUGUGCAUCUUUGUCUGUUAUUAACUUAGUUGUAGGCCGAUUUUUUGCCUUUGAGAAAGCUCACAAGUUGGACCCUAGUUCAAGUGGUUGAGGUGUUCGCCAAUUCAAAACUGCACUUCUCCAACGCCUGAAAAGAGUAAGUGCUAGUGUGUUUGUCUUCACCAUAAUCUGUUUGUUCUAGAUAUGCAUGUUCUGCAUUAGUUUGCUUUUUGGGGAAAUGGACUUUGUAUAUUGUCAUGGGUGCUGAUUGAGAUAAUUCUUGGUAUACUGUGUUGUACCUUUUUCUCUUCUCAUAGAUAAAGUAUGGAACUAUUAUUAACCCACUAAAAGAUAUGCUGUUGAAAGCUGAACUUGGGUCAGUUCUUGCUAAUUUAUGAAUUCUGCAUUGUUUACAAACAGCAGUUUCUUUCUGUGUUGAAGUCUUGAAGAGGUCUAAUAUCUAAUUUAUAAUUAUUUUUGUCAUGGUUUAAGGAUGACAUAUCAUUAUGAAUAUUUCUAGUAUAGUGGUAUGUCAAUAUAGAAUGCAUUGUUGUAUCUACAUUUAUUUAGCAGGUGGAGUGGAACUGUUUCUGCUGUUGUUUCUAUGGAGGUUAGCUUCAGAUACAUCAUAUGGUCACAUACAACUUCCUUUCUUUUUUUUCUAUGCACAUAGUCACAUACACUUACCAGUUACGACCCUGUUUAUUAAUGGGCCUUGUUGCCUUAGUGCCUUGCAUAUUCGUUUUCAUUAGUUUAUGAAGAAAAAGUAAAAUUGGUGAAAAUAAUAAAAAUUUAUAUUUUGUUAUUAAUUUAUCUUUCACAAAAUCCUAGAAUUAGAAAACAUUGAAAUAUGAAAACAAACUCUUGACUUUAUUUUCAUUAACCUGAACGAGGAAUUGCAUGAAUAUAAACAUGACCGGCACUCAUUUAAUUGAUU